rnacentral:rRNA from 1 species
GUCGAGCGAUGAAGUUUCUUCGGAAAUGGAUUAGCGGCGAACGGGUGAGGAACACGUGAAGAAUCUGCCCUCCACUUUGGGAUAACACCGGGAAACCGGUGCUAAUACCGAAUAUUGAAACAUAAGUGGCAUCACUGAGUUUUGAAAGAAUUUCGGUGGAGGAUGACUUCGCGGCCUAUCAGCUAGUUGGUGAGGUAAUGGCUCACCAAGGCAACGACGGGUAGCCGGCCUGAGAGGGCGACCGGCCACACUGGGACUGAGACACGGCCCAGACUCCUACGGGAGGCAGCAGUGGGGAAUAUUGGGCAAUGGAGGAAACUCUGACCCAGCGACGCCGCGUGCGGGAUGAAGGCCUUCGGGUUGUAAACCGCUUUCAGUAGGGAAGAAGCGAAAGUGACGGUACCUACAAAAGAAGCACCGGCUAACUAUGUGCCAGCAGCCGCGGUAAUACAUAGGGUGCAAGCGUUGUCCGGAAUUAUUGGGCGUAAAGAGCUCGUAGGUCGUUUGUUACGUCGGAUGUGAAAACCUGAGGCUCAACCUCAGGCCUGCAUUCGAUACGGGCAAACUAGAGUUUGGUAGGGAAGACUGGAAUUCCUGGUGUAGCGGUGGAAUGCGCAGAUAUCAGGAGGAACACCAAUGGCGAAGGCAGGUCUCUGGGCCAAUACUGACACUGAGGAGCGAAAGUCUGGGGAGCGAACAGGAUUAGAUACCCUGGUAGUCCAGACCGUAAACGGUGGGCACUAGUUGUGGGAACCUUCCACGGUUUCUGCGACGCAGCUAACGCAUUAAG